ACUGCUCAGUAACACGUGGACAACCUACCCUACAGAAGGGGAUAACCCCGGGAAACUGGGGAUAAUACCCUAUAGACUAUGGAUGCUGGAAUGCUCUGUAGCCGAAAGGUCCGCCGCUGUAGGAUGGGUCUGCGGCCGAUUAGGUUGUUGUUGGGGUAACGGCCCAACAAGCCUGUAAUCGGUACGGGUUGUGGGAGCAAGAGCCCGGAGAUGGAUUCUGAGACACGAAUCCAGGCCCUACGGGGCGCAGCAGGCGCGAAAACUUUGCAAUGCGGGAAACCGUGACAAGGGAACUCUGAGUGCCCGUAAAAUCGGGCUGUCCAUCAGUUUAAACAACUGGUGAAGAAAGGGCCGGGCAAGACCGGUGCCAGCCGCCGCGGUAAUACCGGCGGCUCGAGUGGUGGCCACUAUUACUGGGCUUAAAGCGUUCGUAGCUGGUCUGUUAAGUCCCUGGGGAAAUCUUCCGGCUUAACCGGAAGGCGUCUCAGAGAUACUGGCAGACUAGGGACCGGAAGAGGUGAGAGGUACUCCAGGGGUAGGAGUGAAAUCCUGUAAUCCUUGGGGGACCACCUGUGGCGAAGGCGUCUCACCAGAACGGCUCCGACAGUGAGGGACGAAAGCUGGGGGAGCAAACCGGAUUAGAUACCCGGGUAGUCCCAGCUGUAAACGAUGCGCGUUAGGUGUAUCAGUGACCACGAGUCACUGAGGUGCCGAAGAGAAAUCGUGAAACGCGCCGCCUGGGAAGUACGGUCGCAAGGCUGAAACUUAAAGGAAUUGGCGGGGGAGCACCACAACGGGUGGAGCCUGCGGUUUAAUCGGACUCAACGCCGGGAAACUCACCAGAUAAGACAGCUGAAUGAUUGUCGGGCUGAAGACUCUACAUGACUAGCUGAGAGGAGGUGCAUGGCCGUCGUCAGUUCGUACUGUGAAGCAUCCUGUUAAGUCAGGCAACGAGCGAGACCCACGCCAACAGUUGCCAGCUCGUCCUCCGGGAUGGAGGGGACACUGUUGGGACCGCCUCUGCUAAAGAGGAGGAAGGAAUGGGCAACGGUAGGUCAGCAUGCCCCGAAUUAUCUGGGCUACACGCGGGCUACAAUGGGUGGGACAAUGGGUAUCGACACCGAAAGGUGAA
rnacentral:rRNA from 1 species